AGAACGAACGCUGGCGGCAGGCCUCAAACAUGCAAGUCUAGGGGGUGUAGCAAUACAUCACCGGCGGACGGGUGCGUAACGCGUGGGAAUGUACCUAUUGGUUCGGAACAACACAGGGAAACUUGUGCUAAUACCGGAUGAGCCCGAAAGGGGAAAGAUUUCUCGCCAAUAGAUCAGCCCGCGUCCGAUUAGCUAGUUGGUGGGGUUAAAGCCUACCAAGGCGACGAUCGGUAGCUGUUCUGAGAGGAAGAUCAGCCACACUGGGACUGAGACACGGCCCAGACUCCUACGGGAGGCAGCAGUUGGGAAUCUUGGACAAUGGGGGAAACCCUGAUCCAGCCAUGCCGCGUGAGUGAUGAAGGCCUUCGGGUUGUAAAACUCUUUCGACGGGGACGAUAAUGACGGUACCCGUAGAAGAAGCUCCGGCUAACUUCGCGCCAGCAGCCGC
rnacentral:rRNA from 1 species